ACGAACGCUGGCGGCGUGCUUAACACAUGCAAGUCGAACGGUGAAGCAGAGCUUGCUCUGUGGAUCAGUGGCGAACGGGUGAGUAACACGUGAGUAACCUGCCCUUGACUCUGGGAUAAGCGUUGGAAACGACGUCUAAUACCGGAUACGAGCUGAGACCGCAUGGUCAUCAGUUGGAAAGAUUUUUUGGUCAAGGAUGGACUCGCGGCCUAUCAGCUUGUUGGUGAGGUAAUGGCUCACCAAGGCGACGACGGGUAGCCGGCCUGAGAGGGUGACCGGCCACACUGGGACUGAGACACGGCCCAGACUCCUACGGGAGGCAGCAGUGGGGAAUAUUGCACAAUGGGCGCAAGCCUGAUGCAGCAACGCCGCGUGAGGGAUGACGGCCUUCGGGUUGUAAACCUCUUUUAGUAGGGAAGAAGCGAAAGUGACGGUACCUGCAGAAAAAGCACCGGCUAACUACGUG
rnacentral:rRNA from 1 species